AGUGUGCUGGGCACCAGGAGACUCCGGGACAGGGGGUCUUGGCCGUCGGCGUCAUGGUUUCGCGCGUGCAGCUCCCGCCUGAGAUCCAGCUGGCUCAGCGCCUGGCGGGGAAUGAGCAGGUGACCCGGGACCGGGCGGUGAGGAAGCUCCGGAAAUACAUCGUCGCCAGGACUCAGCGGGCCGCAGGUGGUUUUACGCACGAUGAGCUGCUGAAGGUGUGGAAAGGACUGUUUUAUUGCAUGUGGAUGCAGGACAAGCCACUCCUCCAGGAAGAAUUAGGAAGGACCAUUUCCCAGCUCGUUCAUGCUUUUCAGAACAUGGAGGCCCGUGAGUAUGCUCUGCCAUAGUUGGGGACAUUUGUAGAUGUCAGAACCUCUGAGCAUCAGAGCCACCAGACCCAGGAGGUUUGUGUUCUCAAAUCCAGAGUAAGGAAUACCUAAGGGCAAGAGAGCACCAGCUGGUGUCUGUGGGUGCUUAGCAUGUAUGAAAUGCUGGUGUAAGUAUUCAACGUGGAUUAGCUCAUUUACCCAAAACACUAUUUCGAGUCUAAUGGGUUAGUAUCUUACACUUUAAAAAUAAAGUGAAAAGCCAGGAUAAUGUCACCAAGAGAUUUGACUGAAUUCCACCUGAUGGUCCUGAGGUUCCUGCGGUUGAUUUUUCUGACUCCUCUGUUCUCUGGUGACCGGAGUUGAGAAGUUCUUACCCUGCCUGUCUGUGGGACUCACUUGAGGAGCCUCUAAAAAUCCUGAUGUCCAGAUCCUGGUCCAGCAAAACCCAGUUCUGGGGGUAGGGCCUGGGCAUCAGCAUUUUUAUCUAUAAAUAAGUAAAGAAAGCGUUCCUCCACGUUCUCACCUCACUUCCCAGGGUGGCUUCGUGCUCCUCAGUGGUUCUCUUCUGGCUUAUUCCUCCUCCAGAGCACCUGUUCCUUCAGGCCUUCUGGCAGACCAUGAAUCGCGAGUGGACGGGCAUUGACAGGCUGCGCCUGGAUAAAUUCUACAUGGUGAGACAGCCACCA
rnacentral:sRNA from 1 species